UCUCGAUAGCGUAUCAGUUAACUCAAAUUUGUAUGGAGUUGGAGCGUUUGACUACGUUUGCCGCUAGGGUUGCUGUUCCAACUGCAUACAAAUUUGAGUUAACUUUUACGCAUGGA
rnacentral:pre_miRNA from 9 species